rnacentral:ncRNA from 1 species
AAAAAAAUUUUUUAUAGUUUAAUAAUUUUAUUAAAAGUUUAUUUUACAUAUAAAUUUUAGUGUUAAAUUUAAAUUAUUUUAAUAAUAAUUUUUAAUUAUUAGUAGUAAUUAAUAUUAAAUAUUUAAGAAAUUAAGAUUUAGUAAUAUUUAAAUUAAUAACAAAUUUUGUGCCAGCAGUUGCGGUUAUACAAAAAAUUAAAUUAAAUUUUAUUAGUAAUUAAUUAAUAAUUUAAAAUAAUUAUAAUGAAAAUUUUAAAUUAUUAAGUGAAAUUUUAAUUUAAUAAAAAUUUAUAUUUUUAAUUAUGAAUUGAUAAAUUUUAUUAAAAACUAGGAUUAGAUACCCUAUUAUUAAAAUUUAAAAUUAAUAUACUAAAAUAGUAAUUAAUUAUUUAAUGAAACUUAAAUAAUUUGGCGGUAUUUUAGUUCAUUUAGAGGAAUCUGUUUAAUAAUUGAUAAUCCACGAAUAAAUUUACUUAAUUAAGUUAAUAUUUUGUAUAUCGUUGUUAAAAAAAUAUUUUUUAAUAAAAUUAAUAUUUAAAAAUUAUUAAAAUAAAUUAAAUCAGAUCAAGAUGCAGAUUAUAAUUAAGAAUAUAAUGGAUUACAAUAAAUUUAUUUAAAUGAAUAUUAAUUUGUAAUAAUUAAUUGAAGGUGGAUUUAAAUGUAAUUUUAUUUAAUUUAAUAAAAUGAUUUUAAAUUGAAAUAUGUACAUAUUGCCCGUCGCUUUCAUAUAUAAAAGUUGGAAUAAGUCGUAACAAAGUAGAGGUACUGGAAAGUGUUUCUAGAAAGAA